AUGAUGACGGUGGAUCUCGCUACGAGGCUUUAUGGAAGCUUAAGCUUCAUCGUGAAAUCCAUAGAUUCUUAUGCAUCCAGAGAAUUGAUAGAGGUCGAAGGUUUCUGGUUGAAGAUGAGAGGAUUGGAGAGUGAGAAGUUAGCCAAAUCAGUGAGUCAAAUUAGUUAUUUGGAAUGUUUCACCGAGCUUGAAGGGUUGUUUAUGACUAUGUGGAUUAAUGUUGAUAAUCAUGUGCUGACUUAA